GUUGUUGAUGGCGUUGUGGGUAUGCCUCAUUUUUUCAAUUUCCAUGGCUUCUUUCACCUCAGCCCAUUGCAGUCCCAUACAGGUUUCGGGAGGGUUGCCUCUGCCCAGUUGAUGUCGAUUGUGUGUUCCUGGGCCCUGUAUGCUGGUGCAGUCGUCGGCCUGGCCACGGCUGUGUCGGCUUUGUGUUCCUUUGUCCUCCUCUCGGGGCUCCUGCUCGUGCUUCCUGUGUGGAACUGCUGCGUAUUCUGUUCUGUGUCAUGGGGGGGAGUGGCAUGUGCGCCGGGCCUCUUGUGUCUUGGG
rnacentral:lncRNA from 1 species